GGGCCGGGGACGGCUCCGCGGAGGGAUCUGACGCACACGAAGCCGCAGCACAGGCUCUAUUCAGUGGCGCUGGCUGGGGCUGAGAUGGAAGUUAGUUUCUAUGUAGCAGAAAUGGGAAACAAAUGAAGCAAAACUGCCCAAAGAGGGGAAAUGCCCCGAGGAUGGGUCUCACUCUCACGCGCGCACACAGACACACACGCAGAGAACCCUCUCGCGCUGGGCAAACUCGGGAUCGCGCUCCCCGGCCCGAGUUGAAUGAUAGUGUUUGGUUUCUGUCUCUUGCCAUGUGCAUGUGUAUAAAUGCUGCGGAUUGGCAUCUGUUUAAUCACGGGAAGACUUCUUGAAAACUGACGAAAAGAGAAAAAAUUAAUCUUUCGUAAAUUAGUAGGUAAUUACCGGUUUUAUAUGCUAAAUCAUACAUCUGUGUUUUGCUGAUGAGGGUAAGGGCCUUGUUUUUUAAAAAACGAAUAUGGGUGAAAUUAAUGGAAACAAUGGAAAAAGCCAUUUGUUAGAAAACAAGGACACCAAGUGAUUUUUAUCUCCAGAUGAUUUAAGCACUUUUCAAAAAGACUUGAUAGUUGAUUUUUUUAAGGGUUGCAUUUUAAAGGGAAUUAGGAUAGUCGUUCUUUGUUAACAUUUAACAAAAGAUUCCCCUUUAAAAAUUAUAGAUAAUAAACUGCGUUUUAUGUAUCUGGUCUAAAAAGGUUAUUUGUGGGUAAAGGACCAACAAGCUGUAUUAUGGUUUUCUAGAUUGUUUCCUCAAGCCUUGUUCCCUCCUAGCUCCUUACAUUACUAGUGGGAAAUACUUGCUGCAACUGCCUUGUGUUGCACUGCAAGACUGAACCGGUGUGAUGCCCUAUACUAAAUAUCCAGAAAUCAUCCUACAUGUGAGGAAGAAGAAAAAAAGCCUCAACCUCUUUGGAAUGAUAGGAUGUAAAAAUUGCCUUUUAGAACAAUCUUAAUCGAAUAAAAAAGAGAAGUUACCAUGACUCGUCCUACUGCAGCCUGGUUAUCAGAGCUACUGUAUUUAUUGAAAUGGCUAUCCUUCAAAUAUUGAAAAUAUUUGCAUUUUUAUAGACAUGAAUUCCAUUCUAUCUAUUGUAGGUAAGUGGCUUGCUUCUAGAUAGUUAGCUUUGAAAAGACAGACAUUUAAUAUGCCUUUUUGCAGUUCUAUUUAUUUCUAUGACUGAUGCUUUCUAUUUUAACUUUUUAAAAAGUCUUAUAUUCUUCGAAUAAUUGUGAUAUUUUAUAUCAUCAUGAUGUUCUUCUUACAAACAGAUUUUAGGAACUAAAAAUUAUAGUCAUAAUCUUGUGGUUUUGAAAUAUUUGUAUUAGUCUGAUUCUUACUAAUAGAUGUUUUAUCCUUGCAAAGGAAAAUAAACCAAAUUAUGGCAUGGAAUAUAAAAUUACUCUGGGUAAAGUUUUCCAUAUAUGUCUUGCGAGUGUUAUGUAAACAUGGAAAGCUAGUAUGAUUAUCUCAUGUAUGCUUUUCAUUUAGAAGCCACGAAAACUUUUCCUAAGCUUGCUACCAGUACUUAGCUCCUAAAAAAUUGUUAAGGAAAAUUUCCCUUCUAAGUUUUCUGGAAAUGAUGCUGUUGUCAUUUUGACUAACCUUGGACAAUGUUUAUGGUUUCUUUUUCAAAUACCUAAUUUGAAGACAUUUGUAAGCUUGUCUUUGAAUUAAUUUAUUACCAUCAGUCUGUUACAAGAAAAUACAGGUUACCAGCUAAAAAUUAAAACUUUUUUACCACCAAAUAAACUAUUUGUUUUUAACAGUA